CGGGGUGGAUNAGUGGCGAACGGGUGAGUAACACGUGGGCAAUCUGCCCUUCACUCUGGGACAAGCCCUGGAAACGGGGUCUAAUACCGGAUACGACUGCGGAAGGCAUCUUCCGUGGUGGAAAGCUCCGGCGGUGAAGGAUGAGCCCGCGGCCUAUCAGCUUGUUGGUGGGGUAAUGGCCUACCAAGGCGACGACGGGUAGCCGGCCUGAGAGGGCGACCGGCCACACUGGGACUGAGACACGGCCCAGACUCCUACGGGAGGCAGCAGUGGGGAAUAUUGCACAAUGGGCGAAAGCCUGAUGCAGCGACGCCGCGUGAGGGAUGACGGCCUUCGGGUUGUAAACCUCUUUCAGCAGGGAAGAAGCGAAAGUGACGGUACCUGCAGAAGAAGCGCCGGCUAACUACGUGCCAGCAGCCGCGGUAAUACGUAGGGCGCAAGCGUUGUCCGGAAUUAUUGGGCGUAAAGAGCUCGUAGGCGGCUUGUCACGUCGGAUGUGAAAGCCCGAGGCUUAACCUCGGGUCUGCAUUCGAUACGGGCUAGCUAGAGUGUGGUAGGGGAGAUCGGAAUUCCUGGUGUAGCGGUGAAAUGCGCAGAUAUCAGGAGGAACACCGGUGGCGAAGGCGGAUCUCUGGGCCAUUACUGACGCUGAGGAGCGAAAGCGUGGGGAGCGAACAGGAUUAGAUACCCUGGUAGUCCACGCCGUANACGUUGGGAACUAGGUGUUGGCGACAUUCCNCGUCGUCGGUGCCGCAGCUAACGCAUUAAGUUCCCCGCCUGGGGAGUACGGCCGCANGGCUAAAAACUCNNGGAANUUGACGGGGGCCCG
rnacentral:rRNA from 1 species